rnacentral:pre_miRNA from 1 species
GAGCGAGCAGAGAAGUAUUAUUUGCGUGCAUCUGAUAUCAAAUAAAACUUUUUUGGUUGCUGCG